AAAAAGGCAUUGAAGGGAAUAAAGGUAGUGCUCAGGCAUAUGGGGUACAACUUAAGUUGCAAGAUCACUGGAAUAACCAGUCAACCGAUGAGCCAAGUAAUGUAUGUGUGUGUGUAAUUAACUGAUAUACAAGUGUAAGAACACUGUCCAACUUGUGGUGAUAGAGUGUGAUAACAUAACUUGGUGGUUUGGUUGUGUUUAUGUUGGUCGAUUUGUUUAUGUUAGCUGAUUCUUGAGUCCCCCACGCCAUUUGAGAAGCAUACUUUAUGUUGCCUGCUUUUGUCGUCAUCUGAAAUCCACAUAUGGUUAAAUUUGUCUUCUGUGUUGUAUUUUAUGUAUGAUUGAACUACUUGGUGGUAAAAAGUUUGGCGGAUGUGUCUCAAAUCAAUUUCUCAAAUCUGAUAUGUGAUAGUAGUUGGCUACUAUGUAGUGCGAUGGUCACUUGAUAUUGCGUGUAACAGUGAUGUAUCCCUCCUUCCAUGUUAUAGUAGGCAUUCACGUUAUAUCUUCCCUUUGAUUGUAUUUGCUAGGUUUACUUCUGACAAUGAGACAAGGUCGGUGGUUCAAUAUUUUCUUGAAAAACAUAAAAUUGCGCUUCAAUUCACGUCAUUGCCUGCCCUUGAAGCUGGAACUGAAGAGAGGCGCAUUUAUUUGCCAAUGGAGGUUCUAUGAUCAAAAGACUACUUUCAUUCUUUGUGUCUGGAAAAUAAUUUAUUUAAGACUUAUUUAUAGAAUAUUUUUGUUUCCAGCUUUCUAGGAUUGUCGAGGGACAGAGAUAUACUAAAAGAUUAAAUGAAAGACAAGUAACUGCUCUUUUAAGAGCAACUUGUCAGCGUCCUCGGGAUCGUGAAGCAAAUAUACAGACGGUAGAGCAUUGUUGUAAUUUCUUACAUCUGUGGUGGAUCUUUUUUGGAUGAUUAAUCUGGGAGCUAUCUUCUUGUGAACAAAGAGAGUUUCUGAUUCUUGCUUCUGGGUUUGACAUUCUUCUGCAGAUGGCUAGGAAAAAUGCUUACAAUGAAGAUACUCUUGUGAACAAGAAGUUUGGAAUUCAAGUGGCUGAUGGUCUUACAUCGUUUGAUGCUCGAAUCCUACCUGCUCCAAUAGUAAUUAUGUGUCAUUUUGUUUUAUUUGUAACAGGAUUGUGGUACUUCCAAUCUCCUUGUGCUUAACUUUACCUCCUGUAAUGCUGCAGCUUAAAUAUCAUGAAUCUGGCAGAGAAGCAAGCGUGAAUCCUGAUUUUGGGCAAUGGAACAUGAUUAACAAGGUGAAUUACUGAUUAUUAUUUUAUUCCGUAGUUGUUGAUUUGUGCUUAGGAAGAGCAUACGGAAGCGGUUACCACUUGUUUAAUCUGGUUGAGGGAUGUUUAUUGACUGAUGGGUAGGAUGGGUUGGAAGUUGAUUUGCUACAUUUGAUGCAAUGUGGAUGUGCUGCAUUUCUUUUGCAACCAUAAUUUUUUAUUUUUUUUUUCCGUUUUAGCAUGCUGUAAUUUCUAUUUAGUUAUAUACUUUUUCAUCUUUGACAAGCAUUGUAUCUGAUAUUCACUUAGGUAUUCGGAUUGUAUGUGCUUGGUGUUCAGCUCAAUCCACUUUGCCUUCUGAAUGGGAAGUAUUUUUUUGUUCACACUGAAUUAUUUUGUGUAAUUUUGGUUGUACAGAAAAUGUUCAAUGGUGGGACAGUGCAAGUUUGGACUUGUAUGAACUUCUCAACGUGUUUGAACCAGGAUGUGAUCGUGUUCUGUCAACGGUUGGUAGACAUGUGCAAUAGAAAGGGAAUGGUAUGGUAAUGUUAAUGGUAUGGUAAUGUUAUUUGUUUUGCAAUUCAUGUUAGCAAUUUAGGUUAAUGGUCUCUCUGAACCGACUUUUUUCUUUUGGGGGGUCCGUGUUUAUCAUGCCAGGUAUUUAACUGCCGGCCUGUCAUUCCCAUAAGUUCAUACAACCCAUAUCAAAUUGAGAAGGCACUUGUAGACGUUCACAAUAAGACUACACAGCCAGGGAAACAGCUUCAGCUGUUGAUAAUUAUUUUACCAGAUGUUAGCGGAUCAUAUGGUGAGUGAUAAAUUUAAUCAAGGAUUAAACUUUAAUGUCAGCUUUGGUUUUGUUCAACAUUAUCGGCUUUCUGCUCGCAGGAAGAAUUAAGCGAGUUUGUGAAACGGAACUUGGGAUUGUUUCACAAUGCUGUCAGCCUAAGCACGCAUCCAGUUGCAACAUGCAGUAUUUUGAAAAUGUGGCUCUUAAAAUCAAUGUGAAGGUUUGCUUUGCCCCCAUUUUUUUGCGUGUUCAUUAUCAUGGUUAAUAUUUGAGAACCAAUACAAGGGUUGGCAGGAAAACAUGUAGGAGAUGAUUUUUUUUUUUUUUUGGCAAUUUAAUUUCAGUCUUGAUUUGCUGGAAUUAUUGUAUUUUUUUUGUUCAAAUAAUCAAAUUCUGAUGUUCAAGAUAUUUUUAUAAGUGUUUGGGAGUGCCAAAAUUUCUUGUUAAAAUUGAUAGGUUUGCUUAUUGGUACUGGGGAUUCAGUUUGCUAUUUGUAAUUUUAUCAGGUUGGAGGACGAAACACUGUGCUCGAUGAUGCUGUUCAGAAAAGAAUUCCUCUUGUGACUGAUAAACCUACAAUUAUAUUUGGUGCAGAUGUCACCCAUCCACAACCAGGAGAAGACUCUAGCCCUUCAAUAGCGGCCGUAUGUGCACUGAUUUUCUGUUUCUGCUUUCUAGUAAUUCACUCUGUUAAAAGAUUGAAUUGACUGAGAUAGGUGGUGGCCUCAAUGGAUUGGCCAGAAAUAACCAAGUACAGAGGACUUGUCUCUGCUCAGGCACAUAAUCAGGAAAUUAUCCAAGAUCUCUAUAAAUCUAUUAAAGAUCCUCAGAGGGGUUCAGUUCAUGGAGGGAUGAUCCGGUUAGUAGACAUGGAAGUACAUAUCAGGUGCCUUAUUAUUAAGAGAACCUUAUGCUUCUGUUUGUCUUUUACAGGGAACUGUUAAUUGCCUUCAAAAUAUCAACCAACCGUAAACCUGAGAGUAUUAUUUUCUACCGGUAAUGGUUGUUUUCAAUGUUAAACUGCAUGUUUUGUAGAAUGUUACUGAUGUUGUUUCAUUUAUGUGCCAGAGAUGGUGUUAGUGAAGGGCAGUUCAGUCAGGUUUUACUCCAUGAAAUGAAUGCUAUCCGGGAGGUAAUGCUGAUGAGUCCUGAAGUUAAUACAAUUUUCUUGUGUUCUAGAGAUUUUCAAUAUCUAGUUUCAGUUAAUUUCUUGUUGAUGACUUUUGUUGCAACAUGCUAAAUUGACUUAUCUCCAGGCCUGUGCCUCACUUGAGGAGGGAUAUGCGCCACCAGUUACGUUUGUUGUGGUACAGAAAAGGCAUCAUACUCGCCUUUUUCCUGGUGAUCACAACAGACGCGAUCUGACAGAUAGGAGUGGAAAUAUUUUACCAGGUUCCAAGUUAUCUUUGUAUUAUUAAUCUUUAUUUUCUAUUUGCGUCUUUUGAGUAUGCAUAAUGGCUGGGAACCAUGUUGUUGCUUAACCUUGUCUUUGAUGAAUAUUUUUGGGAUGUCCCUGUGUUAGGAACUGUUGUUGAUACUCAUAUUUGUCACCCUACAGAAUUUGAUUUUUACCUCAACAGCCAUGCAGGAAUUCAGGUUAAAAAAAAAAAUUAAGUUUGCUAUUUCAAUCCAGGUUAAAAAAAUAAAACAAUGUCCCCCCCCCCCCCCCCUCUUGAAUUUUUAAAUGUGUUGGACUGAUUAAGGUGUUUAUUCCAGGGAACCAGUCGCCCAACUCACUACCAUGUAUUGUAUGAUGAGAACCAUUUUACUGCAGAUGACUUGCAAUUGUUAACAAAUAACUUGUGUUACACGUAAUAUGUUUACCUUCUCUAUAAUGGGAUUUAAUAUUGCAUUGUUGAAGAAUUUAUCUUUCGAGUGGUUAUUUUGUAAGUUUUUGACUCGUGGCCCAUUUUCAGGUAUGCAAGGUGUACUCGAUCAGUUUCAAUAGGUCUGACCCUUGUACUUCUAUUGUUUUACUAAAAAUAUUGCUAGCAUUGAUUGAUUUUUUUUUUCUUUUUAUUUUUUGUAUUGGCUGUUUUCAUAUGGCAGUGCCUCCUGCAUACUAUGCACAUUUAGCAGCUUUUCGGGCUCGUUUUUAUAUCGAGGAUGAAACAUCUGCGGGUGGAUCCACAGGAGGGACUAGGAGCACGGCGGAGGGGAGUUUGGCUAUCCGGCCUCUUCCCGUCAUCAAGGAUAAUGUGAAAGAUGUAAUGUUUUACUGCUGAAAGUAGUCUCCAGCAUCAAUCCUCUUUGUCAUGGUUUUCAUCAAGGCUUGACGUGUUUUGGUAUAUGGAGUACAGCGUGGUGCCGUUUUUGGACAGUACUGUUAUUUUGGGAGUAGUUUCAAAUUGGACAUCAAGGGUAGAAACUGAUUCUCCUUAUGUUAAAAAUGUUAGCUGCAUAUUGUCCUGGUUAAUGCUGGUUAAUGCCUUGUAAAUUUAAAUGCCAAAAAACUUCAUUUCUUGGUGGGGUUAUUUGAUCUCACUGCACGCUUUUUUAAAUUAACAUUUUUGGACAGUGCUGAUUAUCUCACUGCACUCUUUUUUCAAUUAACAUUUUUAUUCUGAAAACAUAAUUGGAUCAAUUAUAUAUUUGAUCUUAUUUUCUCUCUCGAUCUCUUUCCCUUAACCAAAAUUUAUUGUAAUAUGUGAAGUAAGUAUUGAAUUUUCUAAUUAUUCAAAAAGUAAUAAAUUCAGCUCAAUGGUAAUUAGAAACAAGAUGAAAGAGACAAUGUUAAUCAUUUAGAAAUAAAAAAUAAGAGUUUUUAGACUGUUCUAAAUUUGUUAGAAUUUUGAGAAAGAUGAAGUUGAUUUUGGAGAGAAUAAAAUUGAAAAGUAGUUUAAGCUUUGAUCAUUUCUACAGUAGACAGAAAAAUUAGAGCCAAUUUGGGAUUGCGAAGGCAUAUGAAAUAAGCAGCUUAUGUGUUGUGCAGGUGAAAUAAGUUGUUGAUAAAAAAAGUAGUUUAGUGUUUGGAAAACUGUAUUGUUGUGGUUGCUAAGAAUUUGAAUAGUACAGUACAUGUGUUUGGUAAAUUAUAUUACGAAAGUAUUGUUUUAUUAUAUAAUGAGCAAAAUAGAUACAAGUUUUAAUUACUUUUUAUUUUUAAAGUAUGUUUAAUAGAUUAUUUAUACAUAUCUUUUUUCUUAUUGUUUUAUAUAUAAUGACUAAGAUAGACAUAAAUUUUAAUUACUUUUUAUUUUUAAAGUAUAUUUAAUAAAUUAUUGAGACAUAUCUUUUUUUCUUAAAUGCAUAAAAUUACAUUAAAAAACUCAAUUAAAAAAAUCUAUAGAACUUCAUAAUUUAUUACAAAAAAAAUAUGAUAAAAAUAAAGUUAUGAUUCAUAUAUUAGGGUUUAUAGAUAAAUAAAAUAUAAUUGUCUUUUUAUUAAAUUCUAGGGUUAUAAUAGGAAAUUUAAAAAGGUAUGGUAACUUAUUAAAUAAGCUGUUUAUAAAAAGUAAUUUGUUACCUGCUUUUAAAAGUUGCUGACAAAAUGGAAAAAAUUAUGAAAUAAGUUGAUUUUAUAAAAUUUUACAAACAUUAUUUUUAUUAAAAAUUAUGAAAUAAGCAGUUUAUUAAAUUUCAACUACAAUUCUAAACUGACCCUUGGUUAAUCAAAUAUUUUUUGUGACUUUUGAGAAUUAGUGAAUUAAAAUAAUAAAUUAUCAUAAAAAAAUGAUUUUUAGAAGGAAAAUCAACGUUUGCCUCAAUUGUUUGAUGAGGCGAAUGAUGCAUGUAUACGGUUGGGUACAUGCAGUUGUUUUUAACUAAGAUGUAUAAAUAGAUGAACAAAUACUGCAAAAGCGAAAGUAUUUAAUUAAAAAAUGUCAUAAAAAUUUCUUCAAAGCCGGUGAUCGUACUACAAGUACAUUUAAGCAGUCAGCAAGAGUAUUGAACUGUGUAUGCUUCCUUUUUUCAUUUCAAUUACCCGUUAUUCUUCUUGUACGGUGGCUUCUGAAUUACUUUCUUUACUUUUUGAGAGCUCAAGCAAUUCCGUUGCUUCUUCCACUUUUGCAGCCAAUGACUCAAAGUGAAUCCAACAGCACGAUCAUCUCGGAGAGAUCCAUUUCCAAAAUCAUCUCAGUAAUCUUUGGUGAAAGAUCACACUGUCCAAAAGUUACUUACAUGUAAAUAUCAUUAAACCAAAGCUUAAAGCAGGUGAAAAUUGUGAGUACAUUCGCAGAAGGUUAAAACUUCAAUUUACUCCCUUAUUUUAAAAGACAACCUACUACUUACCUCAAAAAUAUAAAAACAUCAAUUGAUGUCUUUUAUUAUUAAAAAGACAAAAAAAAAUAUUAUCAACACACUUUUCGUUUGUCCUAAUCUUUUGAACGAAAAUGAAAAUAAACUGAAGAUUAUCAUUUUACCCGAAGAUGAAUCAAAAUUGACCCUUCACAAAAAAAUAUGAGCAAUCACCUUGAGUUUCUUCACCAGCGGGUAGAGUCUUCGGCCAAGAAUAUCUUUCCUUUCAUUAGGGGAAGCAGCAGCAAGCAUGCUGCUCAAAUUUUCAUUGUAAGCAGCAGCUCUUUAAUUCCCAUUUGUCAGCUCUUUGAUUCCCAUUGGAAAAUUUAGCAUUGCCCAUUCAUCCUUCCUCCUCUAUAUUGCCUUACAGAAUUAGGAGCCUGUAAUACAAAAUUUUUAAUCCCAAAGUUAAGCAGAAGCGCAACAAUUCCAAAUACAUCCUAAACUUGAUUUUACGUUACCAUUAGAAACAAAGGAGAAGGAGGAGGAGGAGAAAAUCCAUUAGGAAUCAUGCCACCAUGCCUGAACCCUGGUGCUUGGUACACUUGUAAUGCACGUUGAUAAAGGGUCGGAUGCAUAGGAAAAAUGGUGCUACCAAGUCCUGGCCCUUGCUUUGCAUACAUCAUUCGUAGGUACGAAGUUCUUUCUCGCUUUGUUUGAGCAAUGGCCACAUACAAUGGCUUUUGAUGAAACAAGAUGCCAUUCAGAGUAUUUAUGGCUCGAUUGGCUUCAUCAGGAUUAGAGAAACACACAAAUCCGAACCCUUUGCUAAUACCUCGAUUAGUUCUCAUGAUCUUAACAGAGCUGAUAAUGCCACACUGGCUAAAAUAUUGUUUCAAUUCAAUUUCGUCAACGUCAUCAUUUAUGUUCUUCACAUACAAAUUUUUAUCCUACAAUUGACAAACAUCUUGAUUUUAGCAGGAUUUAACAAACGAAAAUAACGAUAUUAAUUAAGAGAGCAAAUAACCAAAAAAAAAAAAAACACCUUGUAUAAUUCAGCACGCUCUUUGCGCAUUCUCUCAAAUUAAGCGCGUAAAAUCGCCUUUCGUUCAGCUUUCUUCUGUGCAUUGUGUCUUUGGCUCUUUUAACAUCAUCUGGAUUUUCAAAAUUCACAAAACCAAAACCCUUUGAUGUCCCGUUAGCAUCUUUUGAGAUAACCAAACUUAUUAAUAUUUUUCCAAACUCGAAGAAUUUCUCUACCAAAAUCUCCUCAGUCACAUCAUCAUCUAAAUUCUUGACGUACAGGUUGUUAAAAAAAGCACUUUCUUGAAUCCCCCCAGCCCUUCUGAUGAAUGGACCAACAUAGCUGCCAAUUAAUGCCAGUGAACAUUAUUAAUGCGACAAAUAGUAGAUAAAUUAGCAUAUAUACAAAGAUGACACAUACAACUGUGGCUGGAUCCAAUAACUAAUUGCACCAUUGUUUUGCCCCUUUUAUAGAAUGUAAAAUUAAAAUUUACUAUUAAAAUUGUCAAAAACCACCAACAAAGUGUUGGCUCCACUGGCAAUGGAGUCCCCUUAAGUGACUUGACUGGGUUUGCUCCCUAGUUCGAGUCGCAGGGAAGUCGCCUUUGUUGGGAGAACCUGUGCCUCCCGGUUCGAGCGGGGACUUCUAGUCUGGGUUGUGGUACGGGCUUAAAGGUGCCUCCCACAGUUGGGGCCCUCCCCAGGAUACCUCGUGAUUAAUAUCAAAAAAAUUGUCAAAAACCAUUACGUGUGGCAAUAUUCAAAUCCGAAUUUAAAUCUGCAUUGAAAUUUUGAGAUAUGGAUCCACAUUUUUUUUUUAUUGGAUCUGAUUAAAGGAAAUAUUCGUAAAGAUUGCAGGCAUAUAUUUUGCAUAUCUAGAUUCGCAUGAUUCAAAAUUCAUAUAUAAUUUAAAAUUUAACAAAUUUGCCUAAUAAAAUCCAAUUAUAAUUGAACGAUCAACAAUUCAACACCUAGAAUAACAUUCAACAAUAUUAAAUUCAUAAAUAAAAAUACCAUAAAAUAAAUCAAACAUCAAAAAUAACAUAAAUUUAAGUCUAACACCACUACAAAUCCAUAAAUACGAACACCACAAGUCCACUUAGAUUCAAUUUAAAACCAUCACAAAUAAAAACACCACAACAAAUCUACACAAGUUUGAUUUUUUUAAAUUUAACAUAUAUUUUUUAUUCAAUUUUAAUGUAAUAAAUAAUUUAAUUAAAAAAUAAUGUGGAUCCAAAUAUUCAAUUUUCUGGAUGCAUUUGCAUCCGAAUCCGUACAUAUUUAUUUUUUGGCAUCCUAAUCUAUACUUUUCAAUAUGUGGAUCCAAAUCUUUACAAAUCUGGGUCGGAUCUAGAUUUUUUUACGAUCCCUACAAACAAUUACCAUGUUUGAUAGGUUAAAAAAAUAUAGGCACACGUUAGACAAUAGUAUAAAGUUAAGAGUAUUGGACUAUUCUUUUUAAAAUUAAAUCAGUCUUUUGUUUGGUGCUGCAAAGAUAAGUGAGGAUUAUGUACCUUAAGACCACACCAUUUAAUCUUGGACACAUACUUUUAUAAAGUAGAAUGAAAAAUUUUCCCAUAGGGACCCUAGGGAUAAUGUGGGAUAAUUUUUUUCAUGCCUAAAAAUAAUUGUAGAAUAACUACACAAUGAAAUAUCUAUAUCUAUUAUUACAUUAUAUUACAUUGAUUAAAUAUGUAUUUACUUCAAUAUUCAUUUUACUUAAAUAAUAAUAAAAAUGUUAGAAUUUAUAUUUUGUGUGUUUGUGUGUGUGUUUGUAUGUAUAUACAUACAUAUACACACAUAAAUGAUCAAUUACACACAUUAUUGUACGCGACGAGCCAUGUGUCAUUUAAUGAUUAGUUGUGUCGCACAUCUAAUUAUGUGUGUGCAUUAUAAUAUUAAUAAUAAUAAAAUAAAAACAACUUAAAUUAAUAUUCAGGUUUUUAAUUUAAUAUUUCGAAUAUUCGUAUUAUUAAAUUUAUAUUUAUAAAUUUACUCUUAUAAAUAAAAUACUUUUAAAUAUUUAAUAAUUAAUAAAUCAAUAGUAAUAUACUUUAUUUUCUUAUAAACUGUUUUAGUAAAAUCCUACAUAGUAUACCAAACAUGAGAUAAUAUUAAAUAUAAAUCCAGCCCAAUCUUAUUUUAUCCUACUAAACCCAAUAUAUUAUUACCCAUAAUCCAUCUUAUAAAAAAAAAAGUAAUUUAAGUUCUCGUGCUGACCGGAGGGAAACCUGAAAGGCGGAAAGCCUAGCUAUAGGGGUGUUCAGAAUCUAUUCCAAUCCGCUCAACCCGUCUGAUCCGUAAAAAUUUGAUCCGUGGAUUGGUGAAUUGGAUUGGAUUGAAAAUUUGAUAAUCUGCAAUCGGUGGAUUGGAUAUGAAUCUACUUCUAUAAAUCCGCAAAAAUCCGCGAAUCCGUAAAAAAAUAAAGAGUAUUUAUUUAAUUAAAAAAACUUGUAAAUAUGACAUUAUUACUUACUAGUAAAUAAAUAAGUUAAAAUAUAGUUAUAUUAACACUAUAUUAUAUCUUAUCCGAUGAUAAUAAAAAAUAAAAAAUAAACAAAUAAAUAAAUAAAUAAAGCUUCUUAAAUAGUUAAUUUCCAUGUGCUGAUAUAAACUAAUGAGAUUUUUUUCGUUUUGGUGUGUUAUAUUUUGAAACUUUAAAUGUAUUUUCUACCUUUAUUUAAACAGUUAAUUUAUGUAAAUCUUAUUUGAUUUUAAAUUUCAUCUGUAGUAAAAUUAUUUUUAUAUUAAUUUUUUUUAUUUAGUUAGUUUGUGGAUUUGACAAAAUUUAAAAUUUUUAGUCCGCAAAAUAAUAGAUUAGAUAUGGAUUAGGUCAAAUCCGCAUCCGAUCCACAGAUAUAUGGAUUGGAUUUGAAUUAAAUUUCACCAAUCCGUGGAUUGAAUUAGAUUAAAAAUUUAUAAUCUACAAAAUCAUGAAUCGGAUAUAAAUUAAUGGCCAAUCCAUAAAAUUCGAUUUGCGAACACUCCUACCUAGCUGAAGCUCUUACCUCAAUUUCCAGUUGAAAAUUAAUAAUUAAUAAUCACUAAUAAAAAAUUAAAGAUGAACGCUCACUAAUUAAUAAGUAAUUUAAGUUCCUUUUUAUUAUUUAUAGGGAAAUUUACACUAGUCUACCUGUUUGUUUUGCCUUUUUUAAAAAUACACAAAUAUUUUUUUUUUCAGUGCGCCACCUGAAGUUUGCUUUUUGUUGCAUUUUUCCACUUCCGUCUAAUUUCCGUUAGUGGAUUUAACGGAAUGUUAACGAAAUGACCUUUUUACCCCUCAAAAUUACAAUUUAACCUAAAAUAAAUGGAAAUUUGAGAUAAAUUGGAUGUAUUUAAAUUUUUUCAAAGGUGGAUGCUAGAAAUUGGAGGAAAAUAGUGUUUGUUGCUUGCUAAAUUUAGAAAAUUUGUAUUUAUUUUCUAAAUUUAGCAAGCAACAAACAUUAUUUUCCUCCAAUUUCUAACAUCCACCUUUGAAAAAAUUUAAAUCCAUCCAAUUUAUCUCCAAUUUUUAUUUAUUUUGGGUUAAAUUAUAAUUUUGAAGGGUAAAAAGGUCAUUUUGUUAAAUUUACUAACGAAAAUUAGACGAAAGUGGAAGAAUGUAACAAAGAGUGAAUUUGAGGUGGCGCGCUGAAAAAAAAAAAAAAGUAUUUGUGUAUUUAAAAAAAAGAUAAAAUAAACAUGUGGACGGUUGUAAAUUUUCUUUAUUUAUAUACACUUCCCAUCUUCCUCUCUCCUUCUCUCUGUUUCUUCUUAAGUCGUCGCUCUCUCGCUUUAUUUGUGUGACCAUCACUUCAAUUCGGUUCCUCAAAAUUUCCUUUCAUUUUACCUUUCUGCUUUCGACAAUGUCUCGACGUGGUGGCGGUGGUCGUAGGCCGGAUUCUCGCCGUGACCAGCCGACUCAGGCACGGGCGCCGUCAUUCCAGCGGGGUGGCGGCGGAGCCGCUGGACCACGCGGCCGAGGUCGUCAAGGUCAACGAGGGGGUGCUGGUCGUGGAUCGCAUUCCGGCUCCGGUGCAGCCCCGUCCUCACCGCACACCGCUUCGACUUCGACGGAGCCGGCUCCUUCGUCUCCGUCUGUUUCUGCUUCUGCUCCUUCUUCGUCUUCAGUCUCUACUCUUGUCGAAGAAACGGAGCAGAAACUGACAUUGGCGGCACCAGCGGCGGCUACACUUCCGCCUUCGUCGUCGCGGGCGGUGAGACUUCCAGUGAGGCCGGGAUUCGGAACCCGUGGCAGAAAAUGUGUUGUCCGAGCAAAUCACUUUAUGGUGCAACUUGCCAAGAGAGACAUUCAUCACUAUGAUGUAAGUCUACUUUUAAUUUUAACUUCGUUAUUUUUGAAAACGUUUUGACUCUUUUUAUUUUUUAUUUUCCAUUUUUCUCGUCAAUUAAGGUUUCAAUUGACCCAGAGGUGACGUCACAAAAGAUCAACAGACAAAUUAUUUCUCAGCUGAUUAAUUUAUAUCGGCUGACUAACUUGGGUGAACGAAUACCUGCCUAUGAUGGUAUGAAGAGCAUUUACACUGCAGGGCCGCUGCCUUUUGAAUCGAAGGAAUUCAUUAUCACGUUACCUGAUAGUGAUCCUCGUCCCAGCUCAUCUGCCAGCCCGGGGUAUCUCAUGCUUUUAACACGUGUGUUUCUUGAAUAUUGUUGAUUGUGAGUUUUCUUGAUUUAAUGUGUCGAGUGAUUUCUUAUGCAGAACGGAGCGUCAGUUUAGGGUGGUUAUCAGAUUGGCGUCGCAGCCUUAUGUUUACACUCUACAGAAGUUCAUACAAGUGCUUGAUGUUGUUCUCAGAGCAGCUCCAUCAGAGAAGUAUUUAACCUUAACUGUGUUAAUAAAAGUUUCACUUUUUGGUAUGUAUGAUAUAGGAUGUUCCGUGCCCAUGCCAGCAUUUGCUUGUUCAUGCAACUGAUUGAGCAUUUGAUUUCUGAGGAACAAUUUUAUUAUUGUCUAUUUUGUGCCUUGAACAAUUUAGGUUUUAGAAUGGUUAAUUAAUGAAAUGAUGAACUUCUGCAUCAGGCAUACAGUUGUGGGAAGGUCAUUUUUCUCAACUGAUCUUGGACCAAUGGGUCAGCUUGGUGAUGGCAUUGAAUAUUGGCGUGGAUAUUUUCAGAGUCUUCGCCCAACCCAAUUUGGGCUAUCUCUUAAUAUUGGUUUUUCUCAUUAUAUUUUAUAUAAUUUGAUGCUGCUUAUCUUUAUAUUAUCCAAGCUUGAUUUUUUCUUUUUUAGGUGCAGCACUGCUACAUAAAUAUUUGCUUUUGCUGUUGCAGAUGUUUCAGCCAGCUCCUUUUAUAAGCCAAUUCUAGUUACUGAGUUUGUUCAGUAUUAUUGCAGCGACUUAUCACGUCCUCUUUCUGAUCAAGUGCGUCUCAAGGUAUUGUCUAGUCUUCUUUCGUGAUGUCAUGGUUAUAAUUAAUUUAGUAUCAAUUUAAUGAGCUAUCUAUUGGGCGGUUAAAAGUUUUAAUUGAGGGCUGCAGCACUGUAAUAUAUUUGUGAUAAGAGCCUUUUCAAAGAAUGAUCACAGAUUUGUUAGGCAAACCGUUCAGUAAUGUUUUAGAUGCUGUGUAUAAUUUAUUGCAAGUAAUUAGUAGUUUAAAAUUUCAAAUUUCUUGCAAAUUUUGGAUAGGGUAAUUUCUUAAUUUGUGGCUGAACUGGUGGGUAGUGAGUAGUGUCUGUUGUUCUUGGCCAUUGAAAUCUAAAUAGAAUGAGCUCCCAAGUCUGAGGGGAAUAGAAUGUUGAUGACAGGGUUUGAUGAUCAAUGUAGGAAGUUGGUGUAUAAUUUGGCCUACAAUUCUGAUGAUAAAGAAAUGAGAUCUUGAAAUGGCGGUUUUAAAAAUCUUCCACGCAUUCAUUUGCAAUUGUACAGUUAUCUUGAUCAACUUAUUAUCAUUCCGUUACGUAUAUUAGCAAUCUUUUGAACUAUCUGUAAAAUUUUUACUUUCGAUCUAUUUUGGCCGCUAUUUGACAACCGCCCUUUAAUUAUUUUCAAAAUUAUUGCUGGGAAUGGGAUAGAGACAUGUGCUCAAUGAUAUUAAUAUAAUUGUUUAAUUCUUGACUUCUAGGUGAAAAAGGCAUUGAAGGGAAUAAAGGUAGUGCUCAGGCAUAUGGGGUACAACUUAAGUUGCAAGAUCACUGGAAUAACCAGUCAACCGAUGAGCCAAGUAAUGUAUGUGUGUGUGUAAUUAACUGAUAUACAAGUGUAAGAACACUGUCCAACUUGUGGUGAUAGAGUGUGAUAACAUAACUUGGUGGUUUGGUUGUGUUUAUGUUGGUAGAUUUGUUUAUGUUAGCUGAUUCUUGAGUCCCCCACGCCAUUUGAGAAGCAUACUUUAUGUUACCUGCUUUUGUCGUCAUCUGAAAUCCACAUAUGGUUAAAUUUGUCUUUUGUGUUGUAUUUUAUGUAUGAUUGAACUACUUGGUGGUAAAAAGUUUGGCGGAUGUGUCUCAAAUCAAUUUCUCAAAUCUGAUAUGUGAUAGUAGUUGGCUACUAUGUAGUGCGAUGGUCACUUGAUAUUGCCUGUAACAGUGAUGUAUCCCUCCUUCCAUGUUAUAGUAGGCAUUCACAUUAUAUCUUCCCUUUGAUUGUAUUUGCUAGGUUUACUUGUGACAAUGAGACAAGGUCGGUGGUUCAAUAUUUUCUUGAAAAACAUAAAAUUGCGCUUCAAUUCACGUCAUUGCCUGCCCUUGAAGCUGGAACUGAAGAGAGGCGCAUUUAUUUGCCAAUGGAGGUUCUAUGAUCAAAAGACUACUUUCGUUCUUUGUGUCUGGAAAAUAAUUUAUUUAAGACUUAUUUAUAGAAUAUUUUUGUUUACAGCUUUCUAGGAUACUCGAGGGACAGAGAUAUACUAAAAGAUUAAAUGAAAGACAAGUAACUGCUCUUUUAAGAGCAACCUGUCAGCGUCCUCAGGAUCGUGAAGCAAAUAUACACAUGGUAGAGCAUUGUUGUAAUUUCUUACAUCUGUGGUGGAUCUUUUUUGGAUGAUUAAUCUGGGAGCUAUCUUCUUGUGAACAAAGAGAGUUUCUGAUUCUUGCUUCUGGGUUUGACAUUCUUCUGCAGAUGGCUAGGGAAAAUGCUUACAAUGAAGAUACUCUUGUGAACAGAGAGUUUGGAAUUCAAGUGGUUGAUGGUCU
rnacentral:lncRNA from 1 species